rnacentral:lncRNA from 1 species
AUGAACGCAGUUUCCUUCUUUGGGUGUAGGGACUGAUCAGAGACUGAAGGACCUGAGCCCAAGGACCAUGCCUCAGGACUACCUGGCUUGAUGACUCCUUGCUGUCCCCAGUCCACCUGGCCGUGCUGCUGCUCCAGUUCCAACUGUUCUGCCUGCGGCUAUGGAACCCUGACCUGUUCACCGGACGUGCUACCUGUCCCAGACCUGCUGUCCCAGACCUGCUGGAAACCUGACCUGUUCACCGGAUGUGCUACCUGUCCCAGACCUGCUGUUUUCAACUCUCUAGAGACAGCAGGAGCGGUAGAGAUACUCUCAAAGAUCGGCUAUGAAAAAGCCAACUGACACUUACUCUUGUGUUACUG